GGAUCAUACGUCACCCUUGAUGGUGAACUUCUCGCUGGUGAUUGCCUCUGGAGCUGUCCAUUUCAAAGGGAACAUGGCAUCCCCCACAGAUAUGUAACAGACGCCAGUCUGGUUAAAUGCUGUUGGCGUAGCUUUAAAAACCCUGGCGAGACCAAAGUCAGCCACCUUGCAGAUGUUGUUUUUGGCAACCAGAGAUCGGAACAUAUAGCAAGCCGUUUUAACAUGUAUUCGCUAGACUGGAUAUUUCUUACACAUGAAUGCAACAUAAUUUCGCCAAGUCAGAACUGCAAGAUAUCUAUAACGUCAUUAUGACUAGUCAAAACGACAAUUGAAGAUAUCUGUAAUUCUGUUUUGACUAGUCAGUUUUAAAUUACUAUUGCCAUUCAUGUCUAUGAGGUUUCUCAUUACAGAUAUCUUUAAAUGAAGUUGCAGAUAUCCGAAAUGUCUAUUGUUGAUAUAUUCAAACCAAUUAUGACUAUAGUAAUUACAGUUCCAGAUAUCUAUAAUUUAAUUCUGACCAGUCACGAUUCCAGUUCAAGAUAUCUUAAAUCCCCCUAAAUUUAAGAUAUAUAGAUCAUUAUUUUGCAAUAUCUUAAAUAAUGUUGUAAUUAGUCAUAAAUCAGUUGUAAAUAUCUUGAACUGGAAUUCUAACUAGUAUUAAUUAAAUUGAAGAUAUCUGAAACUGGAAUUACAGCCAGUCAUAAUGUAAUUGUAGAAAUCUAUUAUCAAGUUAUAGAUAUCUUUGAAUAUUUUUCAAAUUGGAGAUAUAUUUUACUUUCAUUCUGCCAAGUCAAAAUGUAAUUACAGAUAUCUGUAGUUACAUGUAGGAGUCAGGAGCGGGAGUAAGUGGCUUGCUUGUAUUCAAACAUAUGUAACUACUCUUCCACCGUAUGGCAAGCAUUAACCGCCAUGUCAGACCUGCGUGAAGCCGAAGUUCUAGUUUUUGAUAAAAUAUUUAUGGUUGCAGCCAGUGCACGACAGGCGCUUUUAGCAGGAAAUACAGGAGAUUUACUUUCUUUCAAAAGUCGAUAAAAAAAAAAUUUUUUUUACUAUCCACAACUGAAACUGCCAUUGCUGCUAACACCGAAAAGCGUUGCUGGGCCAAUAUGAUCUGAUGCCUCGCAUGAGAAACGUCAUGCAAAACAAUUCGAAAUAGUCAUAAGGACAUUUGAGAUAUCUACAACUAUAAUUUUGACUAGUCCAAACAAAAUUCUGCAAUUACCAUUUGGGAUGUAUGAAAGUCGAGUGUCGUUUUCAGUGAGGUCACUUCUGAUAUUUGUAAUUCAGUUUUGACUAGUCAAAAUAAAAUUACAGACAUCUUUAACUGUGUUUUGACUAGUCAGAAGAACGUUACGUAUAUCUUGAAUCAAAAUUUAGACUAGUCACAAUGUAAUUACGUCUAGUCAGUAUUACGGUGUUAAUAUCUGUCAUGUUAAUUUCAUAUAGUCAAGUCUAGCGAAUACAUUUUAAAAUGGCUUGCUAUUGGAACAAACACUUGUUAUCCCGACAACCGGAAAGAUUGAGCUGUGGGUGGAUAAAUGAGCCGUGUUUGGAUUGAUGAGCCGUGUGUGGAUAGAUGAGCCGUGUGUGGGUAGAUGAGCCAUGUGUGGGUAGAUGAGCCGUGUGUGGGUAGAUGAGCCGUGUGUGGGUAGAUGAGCCGUGUGUGGGUAUAUGAGCCGUGGUUGGACAUCCAACCAGUGUUGAGUUUACUGUUCAACGUUCUCUUAUCCAACCAAUGGUAAAUUAUCUAAUUCCAAGUCUGUCUUAUAAAAGCCCUUACACCAGCCACAUCGACGUUACAUCAUGCGAGGCUUCGAGAGGUGAGCGACUGCCUCAACCCAUAAACCGUAGACCACAGUGCAAGAGGGACUAUUUGAAACAUCUACAAGACAAUCAGUAGUAUGGGAAUCCGGGACGCUGACAUUAUAGAGCAAAACCCUUCAUGUUCGUUGUUGUUAGCGCUGAACCUAGAGCACAUUAAAGGUAGAAACAAACACGUUCUAGCCUAUCCAGUUGCUGAGCACCGAGGACAAAACCUCGUCUACUGAGAACAACAGUCACGCGCUGGUCUCCGAUGUAAAGGAUACACCCCAUGUGCUAGGCACGGCUUCGGCCGACAUUUUGAAUAAAAAACGUAAGGCCAGCGUGGAUUGUUUCACCGGAAACCAAAAUUACAUAUAGAGAAAACCCCUCGAAAAGAAGUCAAAGGACAAAAAAAGAUUAGAUUGAAACAGAUGAUGAAACUGUUAACUCUGUGAUGUAGGGAUAUUUUCAUGAAAUGUUAUUUCACAUUAACCUGAUGAGUAGACGAAACAUCUCAUGUGAUCACUUGUAUAUUCAUUGAGAGUUAAUUGAUGAAACAUUAAACCAGGGCUCAUAUUAUUAUCCCAAACAGUCUGUUUGUCUUUGAUUUUUCCACAUUUAAUUGUUAAGAGACCGAUGAACUACACUCUUGCUCUGGCUCCACUACCCAUGGUCAGUUCAAUGAGUGUUUGUUAUCUCAUAUUAAGGACAGAAGGACCUGUGGCUUGUCCUUGACUCUCUUGGGAAAAUGAGUGAGCUCAUAGAUCAAAGAAUCCUUGACUUAGGGAAUAUGCUGAGUAAUGAUGAGUAGUGGCUUGGUGAGCGAAUCCCAGAUUGUUGUGAAACAUUGAUGGAAGAAACAGAAAUGAGCUUAAUGAGGGGUCUGCAGAGCAAGGCAAAGUUAAUGUUUGAUUAAGUAACAACUGAAACAAGAUUGGGGUUCAAUGGAGUUAGCUAAUUCAAUACUCUCUGCUGUCGUUUGGAUUCUAACUUUGUGUUGUGCGAGAUUCCAUCUUUGUUUCUCACAAUUUAGGAGUCCUGAAUCACUGAUACACAUAAAACAGAGAGUCCAAGGAGAGGUGGGUGACAGACCCUCCCACAUACAUCAGAGAGUCCAAGGAGAGGUAAGUGACAGACUGUGAAAUACUUCAGAGAGUCUUAGGGGAGGUGGGUGACAGACUCACAUACAAAAGAGAGUACAAGGAGUGGUGGGUGACAGACUUUGCCACAUAUAAAAGAGAGUGGCUUUAUUCAUCAAUAUAUAACUACAUGGAGGAUGCAGCACUGAAAUUAAUUGUAACAUAAAACCCUCCGCCCCAGUCCCUGCCAUCGCCCUUCUUAUUGCUCCACAGCCAGCCCCUGCUCCGCGUACCGCCGCCGCGCAAGACCCUGCUCCGCGUACCGCCGCCGCGCAAGACCCUGCUCCGCGUACCGCCGCCGCGCAAGACCCUGCUCCGCGUACCGCCCCGCAAGACCCUGCUCCGCCCCUGCUCCGUGUACCGCCGCCCCGCAAGACCCUGCUCCGCCCCUGCUCCGCGUACCGCCGCCGCGCAAGACCCUGCUCCGCGUACCGCCGCCGCGCAAGACCCUGCUCCGCGUACCGCCGCCCCUAAAGACCCUGCUCCGCGUACCGCCGCCCCGCAAGACCCUGCUCCGCGUACCGCCGCCGCGCAAGACCCUGCUCCGCCCUUGCUCCGCGUACCGCCGGCGCGCAAGACCCUGCUCCGCGUAGCGCCGCCGCGCAAGACCCUGCUCCGCGUAGCGCCGCCGCGCAAAACCCUGCUCCGCGUACCGCCGCCGCGCAAGACCCUGCUCCGCGUACCGCCGCCCCGCAAGACCCUGCUCCGCGUACCGCCGCCCCGCAAGACCCUGCUCCGCCCCUGCUCCGCGUAGCGCCGCCGCGCAAGACCCUGCUCCGCGUAGCGCCGCCGCGCAAGACCCUGCUCCGUGUACCGCCUCCCAGCAAGACCCUGCUCCGCGUAGCGCCGCCCAGCAAGACCCUGCUCCGCGUACCGCCGCCCAGCAAGACCAAGAUCCACGGCCUAGAGUACAAUGAGUUUAUUGUUUACAGCCUGGAAGAUUUAUAACGCAAGACUUUACAGUUCCACUGGUAACCAAGUGGCUUCAUUCAUCAAUAUCCAACAACAUGGAGGAUACAACACUGAAAUCUUUGUGGCAGAUCAAACAAUCCUUGACUUAGAGAAAAUGCUGAGUAAUGAUGAGUAGUGGCUUGGGGAGCGAAUCCCAGAUUGUUGUGAAACAUUGAUGGAAGAGACAGAAAUGAGCUUUAUGAGGGGUCUGCAGAGCAAGGCAAAGUUAAAACUAGUAAAAAAGGGAGAGAGGAAGACGUAUAUGUUUGAUUAAGUAACAACUGAAACAAGAUUGGGGUUCAAUGGAGUUAGCUAAUACAAUACUCUCUGCUGUAGUUUAGAUUCUAACUUUGUGUUGUGCGAGAUUCCAUCUUUGUUUCUUACAAUUUAGGAGUCCUGAAUCACUGAUACACCUUGUCCAAUGAAGGGGUACCUCACACCUGUGGUCCAGAUCAUUCCAGGGCCAAACCCAGCCCAGACCUAUGAGAGAGUCCCUUGGGUUCAGAGUAAGAUUAUUGGACACUGAUGGUUCCAGAUUCACCACAGCAAAGGAGAGGUGGGUGACAGACUCACAUACAACAGAGAGACCAAGGAGAGGUGGGUGACAGACUCUGCCACAUACAAAAGAGAGUGGCUUUAUUCAUCAAUAUAAAACAACAUAGAGGAUACAACACUGAAAUUCAUUGUGACAUAAAACCCUUCGUGGUAUGUGUGCUCUUAUUUGGCCUGCCGCCUCAGACAACAGAGAGUCCAAGGAGAGGUGGGUGACAGACUGUGACAUGUACAACAGAGUCCAAGGAGAGGUGGGUGAAAGACUGACAUACAACAGAGAGUCCAAGGAGAGGUGAGUGACAGACUGUGACAUACAUCAGAGAGUGCAAGGAGACUUGGGUAACAGACUCUGCCACAUAAAACAGAGUCCAAGGAGUGGUGGGUGACAGACUAUGACAAAUAAAACAGUCGGAUAAGAGGUGGGUGACAGACUCACAUCCAACAGAGUCCAAGGAGGGAUGGGUGACAGACCCUCCUACAUACAACAGAGAUUCCAAGGAGGGAUGGGUGACAGACCCUCCCACAUACAACAGAGAGUCCAAGGAGGGAUGGGUGACAGACUAUGACAAAUAAAACAGUCGGAUAAGAGGUGGGUGACAGACUCACAUCCAACAGAGUCCAAGGAGGGAUGGGUGACAGACCCUCCUACAUACAACAGAGAUUCCAAGGAGGGAUGGGUGACAGACCCCCCCACAUACAACAGAGAGUCCAAGGAGAGAUGGGUGACAGACUCUGCCACAUAUAAAAGAGAGUGGCUUUAUUCAUCGCCGCGCAAGACCCGUGCAAGACCCUGCUCCGCGCACCGCCGCGCAAGACCCUGCUCCGCGUACCGCCGCCGCGCAAGACCCUGCUCCGCGUACCGC
ensembl:lncRNA